rnacentral:rRNA from 1 species
CCCUCACAUUCCGGAUAAUUGGUCGAAAGACCUUGUAAUACGGGCGAGGAUUUCUUAUCGGCAUCGGUGAGAACGGGAAGGUGCAACGCAAGUUGUGCCGUGCGAGGAGGGGUUCGCGGAUUAUCAGGUAGAUGGUGAGGUAACGGCUCACCAUGCCGACGACGAUUAGCUGGUCUGAGAGGAUGGUCAGCCACAUUGGGACUGAGACACUGCCCAG